GGGGCUGCAGCUCAGUGGUAGAGUAUCUCCUUCGCAUAUGGAAGAUCCCAGGUUCAAACCCUGGCAUCUCCA
rnacentral:tRNA from 1 species